CCUACGGGAGGCUGCAGUGAGGAAUAUUGGUCAAUGGACGAGAGUCUGAACCAGCCAAGUAGCGUGAAGGAUGACUGCCCUAUGGGUUGUAAACUUCUUUUAUAUGGGAAUAAAAUGUUCCAAGUGUGGGAUUUUUUAUGUACCAUCUGAAUAAGGAUCGGCUAACUCCGUGCCAGCAGCCGCGGUAAUACGGAGUAUCCGAGCGUUAUCCGGAUUUAUUGGGUUUAAAGGGAGCGUAGGUGGAUUGUUAAGUCAGUUGUUAAAGUUUGCGGUUCAACCGUAAAAUUGCAGUUGAAACUGGCAGUCUUGAGUACAGUAGAGGUGGGCGGAAGUCGUGGUGUAGCGGUGAAAUGCUUAGAUAUCACGAAGAACUCCGAGUGCGAAGGCAGCUCACUGGACUGCAACUGACACUGAGGCUCGAAAGUGUGGGUAUCAAACAGGAGUAGAUACCCCGGUAGUC
rnacentral:rRNA from 1 species